GGGAUUGUAGCUCAGUGGUAGAGUACUUGCCUAGCAUGUGUGAGGCACUGGGUUCAAUUCUCAGCACCA
rnacentral:tRNA from 1 species